GACGAACGCUGGCGGCGUGCUUAACACAUGCAAGUCGAACGGAAAGGCCCUGCUUUUUUUGGGUGCUCGAGUGGCGAACGUGUGUGUAACACGUGAGUAACCUGCCCUUUACUUUGUGAUAUCUUCAGGAAACUGGGUCUAAUACCUGAUAGGUGCUCCUGCUGCAUGGUGGGUGUUGGAACGUUUCGGCGGUUGGGGAUCGACUCGCGGGUUAUCAGCUUGUUGGUGGGGUAGUGGCUUACCAAGGGUUUGACGGGUAGCCGGACUGUGAGGGUGACCGGCGAAAAGGGGACUGAGAUAGGGCACAGAGUGGUACGGGAGGCAGCAGUGGGGAAUAUUGAAGAAUGGGAGGAAGCGUGAUGAAGAAAAGCGGGGAGCGGGAAGAAGGCAUACGGGGUGUAAAAGGAAGUAGGAUGAGACGAAGAGUGAGUGACGGUAAUGGGUAAAGAAGCACCGGCUAACUACGUG
rnacentral:rRNA from 1 species